AGUGCCUACUGCAGAAAUUGAGCAGGUGCGUUGGCGUCUGACCCAUCCUCCUUCCGGUCCCUCCCCCUUUUCUUCCAUGCUGGUGCGCAGCAACAAACCGGCGGCGUGCCCUUCAGUUGCUUAGCAUUGUGUGUUUGUGUGUGUGUGUGUGUGUCCGUUUUUUUAGCUGUAACUUCUGCUGCCACCUCACCCUCUGCGCAGCUCCGCAUCUCUCUCAUCUCCUGUUGCUCCUCUAUCUCGGUGUCGCUCUGCGGCGGCCCACUGCCCACCCAGCCGCCCGCUCGGAAAGAAGCAGAGCAGCAACUGCGAUGCAAGAGUACUUCCUUUUCUUACUGUUCGGCGUGACCGUCUUGCUCUUGUGCAUCUCGUGCUGCAUCGGGUGCAAGGUGCGGCAACGCCAACGCUUGCAGGAGGGGGCCCUCGACGGACGAUACAACCUCUUUGAAGAAGGCGGCGCCGACAACGCUGGAGGCGCCGCUGAUGCUCCUGGGCAGCCGCCCCGCCCGGUACCAGGCCUCUACCAGGAGAUUUACUAUCAGCAGCAGUACCCGCAAGGUCUUGGUGGCUAUAAUGGAGGCGCCUUUCGAGCCGGAGCGGCAAGCGUGAACUAUGCCGGGGGUCUCCCACAUGGCGACACGCAACAAGCCGUGCCCGCCACGGUUCUCUUCGCUGCCCCGCCAGGGGCGCAAAUCGGUAACGUGAGCCACCCGCAGCGCUUCCCUGAAGCACUAGUGGCGGACGCCAACGGUGCCAGCAACGGUACCGCUGAUGGCGCGGCGGCGGCGAAUAAUCGAGCUGCAAGCCCCCCCGAGGCGGAGUCGCCGUACGGCGAUGCGGACUACGUGCCUCGUGCCUCUGCUACGCCUCUUCAGCAGAUGUCUCCCAAUCGCGCCCCUCCCCCGCCGCAGUAUGCGACGCCGCUGCGCCGGCAGGCUCAGCCAGAACCCUUGGACAGCAGCCAGGAGGGCAGCGGGGUGCUCGACAAAGGAAAGGACUUGAGCUGAGGGUGCACCUCUGCUCAGCAGCGUGCAUGCACGUGAGGCGUCGCUGGCCAAUGUUUUGGUGUUGCCGUGCUGCUCUUUUCGAGCUGCAGCUUCGGUUACUUUCAUCAUGUGCCUAUCCUGCACCCGAAGAACUGUGUCUGCUCCCCCUUUCAGCGAGCGUGUCUUUCUGGUGGCUCUCGCUGCACCUCUCCGCACGCACGCUAUGUUUCUUGUUGUUAGACCUCUGCAGAAUCGUACAUACGAGUACCUGUGUCAGUGUCCGAAGACCCUCGGGGGGAGGGGGGGGGAACAUACGAAGUAGGCUGCCCAAGAGCCGUAGGAUGCACGCAUGUGUUUCUGUUGUUGUUGCUUUUCUUUUAUCUGUGCAUGUACGUGUGUGUGUGUGUUUGCGGCGGUUGGGGGGAGGGAGGCGUGAGGGCGUGUGGAAUCUUUGCUGCAGUGGAGGCCGCUGCCGCCAGCGCGCGCGGGCCUCCUUCUCUCGCUUUUCUCUUUUCUCUCCUUGAGCGGUUUUGUCUGACUUCUACGUGUGGACUGCACAUGCGUAUGCGUGUGACUUUCUAUUGAUGGACGCUGGGCGGUGCACGCCUACCCCACCCCACUCUCACCCUCUCUGUUUGGUUGGCUGACUGGCUCCCCUUUGUUUUCUCUCUAGCUCUCCUCCUCCAGCCAGCAGAGCGUCGUUUAGUGUCGUUGGUGUUGUCGUUGUCGUUGUCUAUUUUCGAUUCCAGCAAACUAUGGCGCUUCUGCUUAUUAUCAUAUGUGUAUGAUAUAAUCUUGAUUGAUUCCUGCGGUCUGCGUCACGCAUGCCUUCUUCAUGUCGAUUGGCAGUCUGUCUGCGUGGGUGUGCGAGUGGGUGUCUGUCAGCUGGUGUGCUUCACAUUAGGAAGCACUUAACUUGUUCUUAUUAUUCUCUCCUCCGCACGUCUUGCCGCUCGUGCGUCGAUGUACGCCUCCGCAUCCUGUUGUGUGUCAGCUCCAUCGGCUCUCCCUUCGCUUGUUUCGUGUCAUACCCCUCUCUUGGUUUGCGGAAGCGAACUUGG
rnacentral:misc_RNA from 1 species